rnacentral:rRNA from 1 species
AAUAGAUACCCGGGUAGUCCACGCCGUAAACGUUGGAUACUAGGUGUGGCGGUCUACCAACGACUGCCGUGCCGAAGCUAACGCAUUAAGUAUCCCGCCUGGGGAGUACGGCCGCAAGGCUAAAACUCAAAGGAAUUGACGGGUCCCCGCACAAGCGGCGGAGCAUGCGGCUUAAUUCGAUGCAACCCGAAGAACCUUACCUGGGUUUGACAUCAUGGGAAAAGCCGUAGAAAUACGGUGUCCGAAAGGGCCCAUGACAGGUGGUGCAUGGCUGUCGUCAGCUCGUGUCGUGAGAUGUUGGGUUAAGUCCCGCAACGAGCGCAACCCUUGUCCUAUGUUGCCAGCACGUAAUGGUGGGGACUCAUAGGAGACCGCCGGGGACAACUCGGAGGAAGGUGAGGACGACGUCAAGUCAUCAUGCCCCUUAUGUCCAGGGCUGCACGCAUGCUACAAUGGCCGGUACAAUGGGCUGCGAACCCGCGAGGGGGAGCUAAUCCUAAAAGCCGGCCUCAGUUCGGAUUGGAGUCUGCAACUCGACUCC